ensembl:misc_RNA
AAUUCAGUAUCUGUUUAUAGAAUAGGUAGUGAUAAGGCCAUUGAGAGUUCUGCGACUGUUCCUCAAUUUGCUCCUUCCUCGGGUGUGUAAGUUCGGUUCUGAAAUUCCCAUUCUUC